rnacentral:sRNA from 1 species
GCCAGGCACGGUGGCGGUUGCCUGUAAUCCCAGCUACUCAGGAGGCUGAGGCAGGAGAAUUGCUUGAGCCUGGGAGGUGGAGGUUGCAGUGAGCCGAGACUGUGCCACUGCAUUCCAGCCUGGGCAACAGAGCAAGACUCUGUAUCAU